UACGUAGGCAGCGAGCGUUGUUCGGAAUUACUGGGCGUAAAGAGUGUGUAGGCGGUGCUCUAAGUUCGGUGUGAAAUCUCCUGGCUUAACUGGGAGGGUGCGCCGGAAACUGGGGUGCUCGAGCGUGGGAGAGGAAAGCGGAAUUCCUGGUGUAGCGGUGAAAUGCGUAGAUAUCAGGAGGAACACCUGUGGUGUAGACAGCUUUCUGGACCAUUGCCGACGCUGAGACACGAAAGCGUGGGUAGCAAACAGG
rnacentral:rRNA from 1 species